GGGGUUGUGGCUCAAUGGUAGAGCGCAUGCCUGGCAUGUGUGAGGCACUGGGUUUGAUCCUCAGCACCACA
rnacentral:tRNA from 1 species